UGCACGAGGGAGAUCUCUACGAACACGACGAGAAGACCUACGAUGGGUGCAGCGGCUUGGUCUGCCGCUGCGGCUCUUGGAAAGCAACGGGAGAGUACUUGGCAAAGUGCUGCGUGCAUGAAGGAAUGCAUUAUCGUGAAGGUGAAAAAAUCAGCGUUAACUGCUACAUGAAAAUCUGCAGAGAAGGGUCGUGGGUCUUCGCAGGCUACAAAGACCCGGAUUGUCUGCCGGAUUCGGAAGCGACGCACGAGACUGAGG